rnacentral:rRNA from 1 species
CUACGGGGCGCAGCAGUGAGGAAUAUUGCACAAUGGGGGGAACCCUGAUGCAGCAACGCCGCGUGGAGGAUGACGCAUUUCGGUGUGUAAACUCCUUUUAUAUGUCAAGGAAAUGACGGUAGCAUAUGAAUAAGCACCGGCUAACUCCGUGCCAGCAGCCGCGGUAAUACGGAGGGUGCAAGCGUUAGUCGGAACCACUGGGCGUAAAGGACGCGUAGGCGGGUUGGAAAGUCAGGUGUAAAUCCUACAGCUUAACUGUAGAACUGCACUUGAAACUUCUAAUCUAGAGUAUGGGAGGGGGAGAUGGAAUUAGUGGUGUAGGGGUAAAAUCCGUAGAUAUCACUAGGAAUACCUAAAGCGAAGGCGAUCUCCUGGAACAUUACUGACGCUAAGGCGUGAAAGCGUGGGGAGCAAACAGGAUUAGAUACCCGCGUAGUC